AUCGAACCCGGAGAUAGCUGGUUCUCCUCGAAAUAGCUUUAGGGCUAGCCUCAUGAGAGUCUUAUGGAGGUAGAGCACUGAAUUGCCUAGGGGGCGUCAAAGCUUACCAAAGCAUAUCAAACUCCGAAUGCCAUCAAGAUGAUUCAUGGGAGUCAGACCAUACGAGAUAAGUUGGAUGGUCAAAAGGGAAAGAGCCCAGACCUACAGCUAAGGUCCCAAAGUGCGUGUUAAGUGGAAAAGGAUGUGGGGAUUCUAAGACAACUAGGACGUUGGCUUAGAAGCAGCCAUUCAUUGAAAGAGUGCGUAAUAGCUCACUAGUCGAGAGUCCCUGCGCCGAAAAUGUCCGGGGCUGAAACACGACACCGAAGCUUAGGAAUGUGUAAACAUUGGUAGAGGAGCAUUGCUAGCGGGAUGAAGCCAUACCGUAAGGAGUGGUGGACUGCUAGGAAGAGAGAAUGCCGGAAUGAGUAGCGAGAUGAAGGUGAGAAUCCUUCAGGCCGAAUAUCUAAGGUUUCCAGAGUAAAGCUGAUCUGCUCUGGGUAAGUCGGGACCUAAGGCGAGGUCGAAAGACGUAGUCGAUGGAUAACAGGUUGAAAUUCCUGUACCGCAUAUAAACAGAACUGUGGGGACACAGACAGGGAAUGGAAUCCGGGAAUGGAUAUCCCGGUGCAAGCGAGGUAGGAGUGCUGUUGGCAAAUCCGCAGCACGAUCUGAAGACGUGACGCGUACCGAACAUAAGUAGGGAAGUCCAGGCCCCUGGCUGUCAAGAAAAGCCGCUAUUGUUUUAUAUGUGCCCGUACCGCAAACCGACACAGGUGGAUGAGGAGAGAAUCCUAAGGCCGACGGGAGAAGUAUUGUUAAGGAACUCGGCAAAAUGACUCCGUAACUUCGGGAGAAGGAGUGCCAUGAGAGUGGCCGCAGAGAAAUGGCCCAAGCAACUGUUUAGCAAAAACACAGGUCUAUGCAAAACCGCAAGGUGAAGUAUAUGGGCUGACGCCUGCCCGGUGCUGGAAGGUUAAGGGGAGAGGUUAGCGCAAGCGAAGCUUUGAACUUAAGCCCCAGUAAACGGCGGCCGUAACUAUAACGGUCCUAAGGUAGCGAAAUUCCUUGUCGGGUAAGUUCCGACCCGCACGAAAGGCGUAAUGAUUUGGGCACUGUCUCGACAAUGCAUCCGGUGAAAUUGAAGUACCAGUGAAGAUGCUGGUUACCUGCGCCAGGACGGAAAGACCCCAUGGAGCUUUACUCCAGUUUGAUACUGGGAUUCGGCAUGGUAUGUACAGGAUAGGUGGGAGACUGAGAAGGUAUGACGUCAGUUGUACCGGAGUCGCUGUUGGGAUACCACCCUUACCAUGUUGGAUUUCUAACCUGUGGCCGUGAACCGGUCAGGGGACAAUGUCAGGCGGGGAGUUUGACUGGGGCGGUCGCCUCCGAAAGGGUAUCGGAGGCGCUCAAAGGUUCCCUCAGAAUGGUUGGAAACCAUUCGAAGAGUGCAAAGGCAGAAGGGAGCUUGACUGCGACACCGACGG
rnacentral:rRNA from 1 species